UACAGAGGGUGCGAGCGUUAAUCGGAAUUACUGGGCGUAAAGCGUGCGCAGGCGGUUAUUUAAGUCAGGUGUGAAAGCCCUGGGCUUAACCUAGGAAUUGCGCUUGAGACUGGAUAGCUUGGAGUGCGGCAGAGGGAGGUGGAAUUCCACGUGUAGCAGUGAAAUGCGUAGAGAUGUGGAGGAACACCGAUGGCGAAGGCAGCCUCCUGGGCCAGCACUGACGCUCAUGCACGAAAGCGUGGGGAGCAAACAGG
rnacentral:rRNA from 1 species